ACGACUGCUAAGACUGGAUAGGAGACAAGAAGGCAUCUUCUUGUUUUUAAAAGACCUAGCAAUAGGUAUGCUUAGGUAGGAGCUUGCGUCACAUUAGUUAGUUGGUGGGGUAAAGGCCUACCAAGACUAUGAUGUGUAGCCGGGCUGAGAGGUUGAACGGCCACAUUGGGACUGAGACACGGCCCAAACUCCUACGGGAGGCAGCAGUAGGGUAUUUUCGGCAAUGGAGGAAACUCUGACCGAGCAACGCCGCGUGAACGAUGAAGUAUUUCGGUACGUAAAGUUCUUUUAUUAGGGAAGAAUAAAUGAUGGAAAAAUCAUUCUGACGGUACCUAAUGAAUAAGCCCCGGCUAACUAUGUGCCAGCAGCCGCGGUAAUACAUAGGGGGCAAGCGUUAUCCGGAAUUAUUGGGCGUAAAGGGUGCGUAGGCGGUUAAAUAAGUUUGUGGUCUAAGUGCAAUGCUCAACAUUGUGAUGCUAUAAAAACUGUUUAGCUAGAGUAAGAUAGAGGCAAGUGGAAUUCCAUGUGUAGUGGUAAAAUGCGUAAAUAUAUGGAGGAACACCAGUAGCGAAGGCGGCUUGCUGGGUCUUUACUGACGCUGAGGCACGAAAGCGUGGGUAGCAAACAGGAUUAGAUACCCUGGUAGUCCACGCCGUAAACGAUGAGUACUAAACGUUGGGUAAAACCAGUGUUGAAGUUAACACAUUAAGUACUCCGCCUGAGUAGUACGUACGCAAGUAUGAAACUUAAAGGAAUUGACGGGACUCCGCACAAGCGGUGGAUCAUGUUGUUUAAUUCGAAGGUACCCGAAAAACCUCACCAGGUCUUGACAUGCUUCUGCAAAGCUGUAGAAACACAGUGGAGGUUAUCAGUUGCACAGGUGGUGCAUGGUUGUCGUCAGCUCGUGUCGUGAGAUGUUGGGUUAAGUCCCGCAACGAGCGCGACCCUUAUUGUUAGUUACCAGCACGUAAUGGUGGGGACUUUAGCAAGACUGCUAGUGAUAAAUUGGAGGAAGGUGGGGACAACGUCAAAUCAUCAUGCCCCUUAUGACCUGGGCUACAAACGUGAUACAAUGGCUGUUACAAAGGGUAGCUGAAGCGCAAGUUUUUGGCGAAUCUCAAAAAAACAGUCUCAGUUCGGAUUGAAGUCUGCAACUCGACUUCAUGAAGUUGGAAUCGCUAGUAGUCGCGAAUCAGCAUGUCGCGGUGAAUACGUUCACGGGGUUUGUACACACCGCCCGUCA
rnacentral:rRNA from 1 species